CCUACGGGAGGCAGCAGUGAGGAAUAUUGGUCAAUGGACGAGAGUCUGAACCAGCCAAGUAGCGUGAAGGAUGACUGCCCUAUGGGUUGUAAACUUCUUUUAUAUGGGAAUAAAAUGUUCCACGUGUGGGAUUUUGUAUGUACCAUAUGAAUAAGGAACGGCUAACUCCGUGCCAGCAGCCGCGGUAAUACGGAGGAUCCGAGCGUUAUACGGAUUUAUUGGGUUUAAAGGGAGCGUAGGUGGAUUGUUAAGUCAGUUGUGAAAGUUUGCGGCUCAACCGUAAAAUUGCAGUUGAAACUGGCAGUCUUGAGUACAGUAGAGGUGGGCGGAAUUCGUGGUGUAGCGGUGAAAUGCUUAGAUAUCACGAAGAACUCCGAUUGCGAAGGCAGUUCACUGGACUGCAACUGACACUGAGGCUCGAAAGUGUGGGUAUCAAACAGGAUUAGAUACCCCGGUAGUC
rnacentral:rRNA from 1 species